AAAUAAACAUAAACGGAGUCCUACAAUGACUCUUGUAGUUAAUUAUACCGAGUGAAUUAAGUAGAUUACCAUGUAUCAGAUAUUGAAUAUAUUUUUGGGGCCUAAGAGCCUCUAAAAAGAAGGGAAAAAAAUCAAUUGAAAUAAAAAGAUAAAAAGGCAUUUGGAUGACAGUUUUAGGCAAUACAAACCAUCCACAUUCAUAUACCACACAUUUCCGAAAGGACAUUACUGGCUAUUUGGUUAUUCUUCUGUGAUGGCUGAAAAAAGAUGUGAGUUUUGACAGAAAACCUAUAAAUGACCAAAACAACAUCCUUAAGUUAGAAAAAUAAGGAAAGCUCCACCACCAAUGAUCUUGCCAUCAUUUAGACACACAAAGAAGCUUCCAAAAUGCAAAAGAUCCCAAAGGAGGAUUGAACCUGAGAAAUGGAGGAGUGCAAUCUUAGUUGAACCACUUGCAGGUGUAUAAUACGAAUAAUUAUGAGGGUCUUUUUUUUUCUUUUUGUGAAAAGCAUACUCAGCAGGAAAAAAUAGAUUGGAGGCAUACUCUGAAGAAGGCAGGUGAAUCAAAAUGACAAUCGAUGAUCAAACAGCUUUUGAGGA